rnacentral:rRNA from 1 species
UACGGAGGGGACUAGCGUUGUUCGGAAUUACUGGGCGUAAAGCGCGCGUAGGCGGAUUUGUAAGUCGGGGGUGAAGUCCCGGGGCUCAACCUCGGAACUGCCUUCGAUACUGCAAAUCUCGAGUCCGGAAGAGGUGAGUGGAAUUCCUAGUGUAGAGGUGAAAUUCGUAGAUAUUAGGAAGAACGCCAGUGGCGAAGGCGGCUCACUGGUCCGGUACUGACGCUGAGGCGCGAAAGCGUGGGGAGCAAACAGG